rnacentral:lncRNA from 1 species
ACAAAAUUAAGGGAUGUGAGGGAUUCCAAAUCAACCUAAAGCUACGAAUGAGUCUGAAAUCAUCGGACAACGAAUAUAUGAAUGACGGUCGAAAAAUGUAGACAUUAAGGCUACUUCCAGCAGUUGUAGUCUGGUCUUGAAAAAAGUAUUCAAUAUAUCAGUUCGGCGCAACAGACAUUCCGGUCAGACAUGCAAACCCCGGCCAAAAAAAAAAAUACGCCCGUUUUUAUCUAUCAUGUUCAUUUAAUGCUUAAUAGUUCUGUUGGAUAUUCGUUUCUAAUAGCAAAAAAAUGGACAAGAUUAUUGUUUUCAAUCCAGAUACGGCCAGAAUUUU